CAACAUCCACCCAAGGUUGCUAAGAUGGUAGGAAGAUCUUCAUGGCAGCGAUCAAACCAUUGUCCGCAAGUACCUAAGGAAUUUGCCCUCACUUGUGAAAAUCCAACCCAACAACAAGAUCAUUGAGGCUGCCACUUUGUUUUGGGAUGGUGAUCAAUCAGUGUUCCAUUUCGGAGACUUGGAGAUGACCCCUUGCUAGAAGAGAUAGGG
rnacentral:lncRNA from 1 species